rnacentral:rRNA from 1 species
AACGAACGCUGGCGGCAGGCUUAACACAUGCAAGUCGAACGAUCCCUUCGGGGAUAGUGGCAGACGGGUGAGUAACACGUGGGAACGUACCUUUCAGUCGGGAAUAACUCAUGGAAACGUGAGCUAAUACCGGAUACGCCCUUUUGGGGAAAGAUUUAUCGCUGAAAGAUCGGCCCGCGUCUGAUUAGCUAGUUGGUGGGGUAAUGGCCUACCAAGGCGACGAUCAGUAGCUGGUCUGAGAGGAUGAUCAGCCACAUUGGGACUGAGACACGGCCCAGACUCCUACGGGAGGCAGCAGUGGGGAAUAUUGGACAAUGGGCGCAAGCCUGAUCCAGCCAUGCCGCGUGAGUGAUGACGGCCUUAGGGUUGUAAAGCUCUUCUGACGGGGACGAUAAUGACGGUACCCGUAGAAGAAGCCCCGGCUAACUUCGUGCCAGCCGCCGCGGUAACAC